AGACUCUCCAAUCGUUGAUUCCUUUCUAGCUCAGAGGUUCCCAAGUCCAUAAGAUUUCUCUGAUCCUCCUCCGUCCAUGUAAUAGCAGACUUUGGACCUUCUGUAUCUCGUGUUUCCUCUUCUUCUUCAUCUUCAUUCUCAUCAUCUGCAACUUCUACUUCUUCCUGGUCUUCAGAAACAUCAUCAUCAGAUUCAUCAUCG
rnacentral:misc_RNA from 1 species